rnacentral:tRNA from 1 species
GUCCCUGGAGUGCAAAUGGUUAACACACUCAGUUGUUAACUGAAAAGUUGGAGGUUUUAGUCUUCCUAGAGGCA